rnacentral:tRNA from 1 species
UAUUCCGUAGCUCAGCUGGGAGAGCGCCACCUUGACAUGGUGGAGGUCGUUGGUUCGAGCCCAAUCGGAAUCA